rnacentral:ncRNA from 1 species
AUAAUAAAAAUAUUUUUAAUAUUAAUAUAUUUAUAUAUAUUUGAUUUUAGUUUUAAAUUUAUUAUAUUUUUAAUUUAAAUGUAAAUUUUUUAUUUCUUAAUGAUUUAGUUGCAAUAAAUAGUUUUAUACAUAUAAAAGAAAUUUUGAUAUAGUAAUAAAUGAAUUUUAGGAUAAAUUUGUGCCAGCAUCUGCGGUUAUACAAAUUAAAAAAAUAAAUUUUUUUAGCUUUAGUUAAUAAAUUAAUUAUAUUUAAAAAAAAUUAAAUUAGGUGAAAUUAUUUGAUUUUAUUAAAUUUUAUUAAAUUUUAUGAAUCUAAUAAAUUAAAAAUAUAAACUAGGAUUAGAUACCCUAUUAUUUUUAAUAAAUUUAUAAAGUUAAGGUAGUAAAAGUUAAAUUCUUAAAACUUAAAAAAUUUGGCAGUAUUUUAUUCUAAUUAGAGGAACUUGUUUUAUAAUUGAUAAUCCACGAUAAUAUAAUACUUUAUUUAAUAUUUAUAUAUCGUUGUUAUAAAAAAAUUUUUUUAGGAUUAAUUUUUGAUAAUUUUUAUUUAAAUAGAUUUCAGAUCAAGGUAUAAUUUAUAAUAAAGAAAAUAAUGAGUUACAAUAAAAUUAUUUAAACGUAAUAUUAGUUGAAAUACUAAUAAAAGGUGGAUUUAAUAGUAAAUUAAUUGAAAUUAAUUAGUUGAUUUUAGCUCUAAAAUAUGUACACAUUGCCCGUCGCUCUCUUUAUAAAAGAGAUAAGUCGUAACAAAGUAGAUGUACUGGAAAGUGUAUCUAGAAUUA